rnacentral:rRNA from 1 species
CCUACGGGGGGCAGCAGUGGGGGAUAUUGCACAAUGGGGGAAACCCUGAUCCAGCGACGCCGCGUGGGUGAAGAAGCGCCUCGGCGCGUAAAGCCCUGUCAGCAGGGAAGAAAAUGACGGUACCUGAAGAAGAAGCCCCGGCUAACUACGUGCCAGCAGCCGCGGUAAUACGUAGGGGGCAAGCGUUAUCCGGAUUUACUGGGUGUAAAGGGGGCGCAGACGGCGAUGAAAGCCAGGAGUGAAAGCCCGGGGCCCAACCCCGGGACUGCUUUUGGAACUGCGUGGCUAGAGUGCAGGAGGGGGAGGCGGAAUUCCUGGGGUAGCGGUGAAAUGCGUAGAUAUCAGGAGGAACACCGGUGGCGAAGGCGGCCUGCUGGACUGCAACUGACGUUGAGGCCCGAAAGCGUGGGGAGCAAACAGGAUUAGAUACCCUUGUAGUC